UACGUAGGGGGCUAGCGUUGCUCGGAAUCACUGGGCGUAAAGCGCACGUAGGCGGAUUGCUAAGUCAGGGGUGAAAUCCUGGAGCUCAACUCCAGAAUUGCCUUUGAUACUGGCGACCUUGAGUCCGGGAGAGGUGAGUGGAACUGCGAGUGUAGAGGUGAAAUUCGUAGAUAUUCGCAAGAACACCAGUGGCGAAGGCGGCUCACUGGCCCGGUACUGACGCUGAGGUGCGAAAGCGUGGGGAGCAAACAGG
rnacentral:rRNA from 1 species